UACGGAGGGUGCGAGCGUUGUUCGGAAUCACUGGGCGUAAAGGGCGUGUAGGCGGUCCGCUAAGUCUGAUAUGAAAGCCCGGGGCUCACCCCCGGAAGGGCAUUGGAAACUGGCGGACUCGAGUCCCGGAGAGGAAGGUGGAAUUCCUGGUGUAGCGGUGAAAUGCGUAGAUAUCAGGAGGAAUACCGGUGGCGAAGGCGGCCUUCUGGACGGUGACUGACGCUGAGACGCGAAAGCGUGGGGAGCAAACAGG
rnacentral:rRNA from 1 species